AUUGAACGCUGGCGGCAGGCCUAACACAUGCAAGUCGAACGAGUGGCGGACGGGUGAGUAAUGUCUGGGAAACUGCCUGAUGGAGGGGGAUAACUACUGGAAACGGUAGCUAAUACCGCAUACCAUCAGAUGUGCCCAGAUGGGAUUAGCUUGUUGGUGGGGUAACGGCUCACCAAGGCGACGAUCACUAGCUGGUCUGAGAGGAUGACCAGCCACACUGGAACUGGUACACGGUACAACCGCCUACGGAAGGCAGCAGUGUGGAAAAUUGCACAAUUGGCGCAAGCCUGAUGCAGCCUUGCCCCGUGUAUGACGAAGGCCUUCGGGUUGUAAAGUGCUUUCAGCGGAGAGGCGUUACCCGCAGAAGGAGCACCGGCUAACUCCGUGCCAGCAGCCGCGGUAAUAC
rnacentral:rRNA from 1 species